CAGAGUUCCUGCCCUCACGGGUAGAAACCCCACCCUUGUAUAUACUAUAUUGUUGCUUUGGCAGGCCGCCUCACGGCGUUGGCUCACGUUGACUGUGCCUGCCAGAGGACCCCAAAUUCUGAAUUAUAGUGUCGUCUGAGAACUAUAUAAUAGUUA
rnacentral:misc_RNA from 1 species